rnacentral:rRNA from 1 species
UUGAAAUCUGGUACUUUCAGUGCCCGAGUUGUAAUUUGUAGAAUUUGUCUUUGAUUAGGUCCUUGUCUAUGUUCCUUGGAACAGGACGUCAUAGAGGGUGAGAAUCCCGUUUGGCGAGGAUACCUUUUCUCUGUAAGACUUUUUCGAAGAGUCGAGUUGUUUGGGAAUGCAGCUCAAAGUGGGUGGUAAAUUCCAUCUAAAGCUAAAUAUUGGCGAGAGACCGAUAGCGAACAAGUACAGUGAUGGAAAGAUGAAAAGAACUUUGAAAAGAGAGUGAAAAAGUACGUGAAAUUGUUGAAAGGGAAGGGCAUUUGAUCAGACAUGGUGUUUUUUUAAUGUGCAAGUCUCUCGUGGACAUGUGCCUCUGGAAAUUAACACUGGGCCAACAUCAGUUCUGGCGGCAGGAUAAAUCAUUAAGAAUGUAGCUACCUCGGUAGUGUUAUAGCUUUUUGGAAUACUGCCAGCUGGGAUUGAGGACUGCGCUUCGGCAAGGAUGUUGGCAUAAUGGUUAAAUGCCGCCCGUCU